rnacentral:rRNA from 1 species
AAGUCGUAACAAGGUUUCCGUAGGUGAACCUGCGGAAGGAUCAUUAACGAACGCUCGAGCGAGGUUGUAGCUGCGUCCCUUCUGGGGCGACGUGCACGCCUCGUCUCUGUCUUCAUCUCUCUCUCACCCACCCCCUGUGCACCUCCGCGUGGGCUCCCGGGCCCACGUCCUUCAUCACGAAUGAACCCAUCGCAUGUGUCGGAACGUCUCGUUUGCUGUAGAAGCAAAAAAAAAAUUGUACAACUUUCAACAACGGAUCUCUUGGCUCUCGCAUCGAUGAAGAACGCAGCGAAAUGCGAUAAGUAAUGUGAAUUGCAGAAUUCAGUGAAUCAUCGAAUCUUUGAACGCACCUUGCGCCUCUUGGUAUUCCGAGGGGCACGCCUGUUUGAGUAUCGUGAAAUCCUCAACCCGAUUCCUUUUCGUCGAGAAAGGGGAACGAGGGCUUGGACUUUGGAGGUCUUGCCGGUCCCCCCCGAUCGGCUCCUCUCGAACGCAUUAGUGGAGCUCGUAAGCUCUCUCCGCCCCUCGGUGUGAUAGUCAUCUAUGCCGAUGCGUGAGGGAGGGAAGGCGCCGCUUCUAACGAACCAUGCCUUGCCUUGUGCGAGAGCGUGGAUAUGGAACCCUUUGAUCUCAAAUCAGGCGGGACUACCCGCUGAACUUAAGCAUAUCAAUAAGCGGAGGAAAAGAAACUAACAAGGAUUCCCCUAGUAACUGCGAGUGAAGCGGGAAANGCUCAAAUUUGAAAUCUGGCGGUCUUCGGCCGUCCGAGUUGUAGUCUGGAGAAGCGCUUUCCGUGCCGGGCCGUGUACAAGUCCUCUGGAACGGGGCGUCGUAGAGGGUGAGAAUCCCGUCUUUGACACGGACUGCCGGUGCUCUGUGAUGCGCUCUCGAAGAGUCGAGUUGUUUGGGAAUGCAGCUCAAAAUGGGUGGUGAAUUCCAUCUAAAGCUAAAUAUUGGCGAGAGACCGAUAGCGAACAAGUACCGUGAGGGAAAGAUGGAAAGCACUUUGGAAAGAGAGUUAAACAGUACGUGAAAUUGUUGAAAGGGAAACGCUUGAAGUCAGUCGCGUCGUCCAGGAUUCAGCCUUGCGGUCUCGCUCGGUGUACUUUCUGGUUCGACGGGCCAGCAUCGAUUUCGAUCGUCGGACAAAGGCGAGGGAAACGUGGCAUCCUUUCGGGGAUGUGUUAUAGUCCCUCGUCAAAUACCGAUACGACGGUCGGGAUCGAGGAACUCGGCACGCCCUAGUGGUCGUGGCUUCGGCCCACGUCUCGUGCUUAGGAUGCCGGCGUAAUGGCUUUAAACGACC